rnacentral:lncRNA from 1 species
ACCACACUGCUCUUCCAUGCUCACAGAUGAGCCCAGGCCAGGUCAGCUUCUCCAUCCCCAGCCCUUCUUGUCCUUGGGAUUGGGUUUCUGGAGACAUCUGUGAGAAAAACUUUCUCUGGUCUUCCCAGUUUACAAGAAAAGAGCAAAUAUUUUACAACGUAUCAGGAUAAGCUGUGACAAGUACCACACGUCCACACAGUCUUUGCUCAAAGCUCACAGCCUGAAAAGACUUCCAGGCAGUCAGAGGCUCACAGCCCAGAGAGCUGAGGGCGAAACACCAAGAAGCCAUCUUCUGUUCCAAGAAUUACUCGUUCCUGCCCUCGAGCCAUCAACCCAAGCAGCGUUUCAUCCUGGAAUCUCUUGAGAAUCGUUUCUGUGGGAACGUGGAGUUGUGUGAGAAUUCCGAGCGCCUGUAAGAAAACUCCAGAACAAGUCUCAUGACCCAUUUCCUCGAAAUACACGAUCGUUCUUGGAAUGUUUUACGCCACUCCCAGGUGUAAGCAGAUAGAUCUGGAUGCUGGGAAGUUCAGAGAUCAAAGAGUUGCCAGCAAUCAUGGUCUUCAUGUUGCGUCUUACCACGGCUGAAUGUGGGUUGAGCAAGAGCUCAACCGCCUGACUGCAAACAACUCCAGCUAAGCCCCGCCUAAUACUGUUGCACUGGCUGGAUGCUCCCAGCCUAAUACUGUUGCACUGGCUGGAUGCUCCCAGCAUGGACUUUGGGGGAAGACACACUUGAAGCCAUACAGAUUCUUAACCUCUAAUGACUUUCCAUCAAUUCCACGGGCUGUAUUAGGGUUCUCUACGGAACAGAAAAAGGAAUGAAUGUGUACGUUAUAAGGAAGUUUAUUAGAUUGGCUUACAUUAUAGAGUCUGGGCAUCCCAACACUAGCUGUCUCGAAUUAAGAGACCAAAACCCUGGUUGUUUAGCCCAUGAGGCAGGAUGUCUCAGCAGUCUGACCUGGUCAUUGGAGGAUUCCUGGAGAGCUCUGGUCUAAUACUGCGCAACACAAUGAACUUGCCAGAAGUGAAGGCAAGAAGAAAAAGUUUCCUUCUUCCACAUCCUGCCUUUGAUAUGGGUUGCUGUGGUGGGUCUUCCCAUUUCAAAUCAUCAAAAAUGCCCCUCCUAGUAGUGCCUAGCAGCUUGUGCUGUAGAUUUAAAUUGUCCUGUAAGGCAUGAACUACAGCCCGGAAGUGGUGGUGCACACCUUUAAUCCCAGCACUUGGGAAGCAGAGGCAGGCAGAUCUGGGUGAAUUCCUUGCCAGCCUGAUCUACAGAAUGAGUUCCAGGACAGCCAGGGUUACACAGAGCAACACUUGUCUAUGAAAAACCAGAGAAAAAAAUACAAAAGACAUCAACUCUAGCUAGCAUACCUUCCAGUGCCUUUCUCAGCUUGAACAAGCCAGGUCAAACACAAUCUUACACCCAGCACUCCAGCAGACAUUCCAGAGUGAAUGCGCGCUGAGUUGAAACUGCUCAAAAACAAAAGCAAGUGUUAAGAAAAUCUGAAUUCUCCACAUACCUAGAUUAGCCUUCAUCUCCAGGCUAAAGGCAAGCCAUUUCUGCAGUGCUGACACCAUAACUUGGUGCUGCUGCACUGGCUUUCCAAAGCUUUCACCUCACUGCAUGUGCUGCCUCAGAACACCAAUCAGAAAGGACCACCAACCUCCAUGUCCGCCCCCAUCAAGAAUUUCAACUACCCCAAACCAUCUCACUUCCUCCCAGUGUCUUCUUCCCCUGCUGGGUGUUUCCCUUAAGUAGGCUUACACAGCGCAUCAGCUACACGCCCGGCCACACCCCUGUGCUGUCGAGGACAGAGCUCAAAGCUACGUGCCAAUACUUACCAGAUCACUUUUUCUAGGGGACCUGGGAGAGUUGGCUCAGUAGUUAGAGCACUGGCUGCCUACCCAGCAGAUGGAGGGUUUGUCUGAAUCCCCAGUUCCAGGGAGCUGAUGUCCUCUUCUGUCUUCUGUGGGUACUACGUGCGUGUGGCACACAGGCAUAUAUGCAGGCAAAAAAAAAAUCUUUAAACAAAUGCAAAAAUAAAUUUUUUUGAAAGAAGUA